rnacentral:rRNA from 1 species
UACGUAGGUGGCAAGCGUUGUCCGGAUUUAUUGGGUUUAAAGGGUGCGUAGGCGGUCAUGUAAGUCAGUGCUGAAAUAUCCCGGCUUAACCGGGAGGGUGGCAUUGAUACUGUAUGACUUGAGUAAAGUUGAGGUUGGCGGAAUUGACGGUGUAGCGGUGAAAUGCUUAGAUAUCGUCAAGAACACCUAUUGCGAAGGCAGCUAACUAAGCUUUAACUGACGUUGAGGCACGAAAGUGUGGGGAUCAAACAGG